rnacentral:ncRNA from 1 species
GGGCGCACGGUGGAUGCCUUGGCACCAGGAACCGAUGAAGGACGUGAGAGGCCGCGAUAGGCCCCGGGGAGCUGCCAACUGAGCUUUGAUCCGGGGGUGUCCGAAUGGGGAAACCCGGCAGUCGUCAUGGGCUGUCACCCACUGCUGAACACAUAGGCAGUGUGGAGGGAACGAGGGGAAGUGAAACAUCUCAGUACCCUCAGGAAGAGAAAACAACCGUGAUUCCGGGAGUAGUGGCGAGCGAAACCGGAUGAGGCCAAACCGUAUGCGUGUGAGACCCGGCAGGGGUUGCGCAUGCGGGGUUGUGGGAAUGAGCUUCAGUCGUCUGCCGGCGGCUGGGCGAGUCAGAAACCGUUGAUGUAGUCGAAGGACAUGCGAAAGGUCCGGCGUAGAGGGUAAGACCCCCGUAGACGAAACAUCAGCGGCUUGCUUGCUCAUCUCCCAAGUAGCACGGGGCCCGAGAAAUCCCGUGUGAAUCUGGCGGGACCACCCGCUAAGCCUAAAUAUUCCCUGGUGACCGAUAGCGGAUAGUACCGUGAGGGAAUGGUGAAAAGUACCGCGGGAGCGGAGUGAAAUAGUACCUGAAACCGUGUGCCU